GCUUUGGUGGGGUAGUGGUAACCUGGGUCGUUGCCAGGUCGUACAGCGAUCUAAAAUUCGACCCGCCGGGGGUUCGAUUCCCUCCCAAAGCA